CCUCCGCUUGACUCCGCGGGGAGCACGCGUACACAUGGCGACGCCGCGUUGACCGAAACCUGCUUCGGUGUGUCGCUGCGUGUUUGUGUGACCCCUGCGCACGGCUGUUCCGCUGCUCCAGUUAGCUGUGAAGCUGAUCUGUAUCUGUACUACCCGGGGUCAGAGGUCAGGGGUGAGGGGGUCAAUGUUCCUCACCUCGUGCAUGGCUCCGAACAGCUCCCAGUCGUAGUCGGUGAGCUGACUGGC